rnacentral:rRNA from 1 species
GACGAACGCUGGCGGCGUGCUUAACACAUGCAAGUCGAACGGAAAGGCCCUGCUUUUGUGGGGUGCUCGAGUGGCGAACGGGUGAGUAACACGUGGGUAACCUGCCCUUGACUUUGGGAUAACUUCAGGAAACUGGGGCUAAUACCGGAUAGGAGCUCCUGCUGCAUGGUGGGGGUUGGAAAGUUUCGGCGGUUGGGGAUGGACUCGCGGCUUAUCAGCUUGUUGGUGGGGUAGUGGCUUACCAAGGCUUUGACGGGUAGCCGGCCUGAGAGGGUGACCGGCCACAUUGGGACUGAGAUAUGGCCCAGACUCCUACGGGAGGCAGCAGUGGGGAAUAUUGCACAAUGGGCGGAAGCCUGAUGCAGCAACGCCGCGUGCGGGAUGACGGCCUUCGGGUUGUAAACCGCUUUCGCCUGUGACGAAGCGUGAGUGACGGUAAUGGGUAAAGAAGCACCGGCUAACUACGUG